ACUCAAAGGAAUUGACGGGGGCCCGCACAAGCGGUGGAGCAUGUGGUUCAAUUCGACGCAACGCGAAGAACCUUACCUGGGCUCGAACGGCUAUGGAUCGACCGUAGAAAUAUGGUUUUCCCGCAAGGGACUGUAGUCGAGGUGCUGCAUGGCUGUCGUCAGCUCGUGUCGUGAGAUGUUGGGUUAAGUCCCGCAACGAGCGCAACCCUUGUCCUGUGUUGCCAUCAUUUAGUUGGGCACUCGCAGGAGACCGCCAGCGAUAAGUUGGAGGAAGGUGGGGAUGAUGUCAAGUCAUCAUGGCCUUUAUGUCCAGGGCUACACACGUGCUACAAUGGACGGUACAAACCGCUGCAAACCCGCGAGGGGGAGCUAAUCGGAAAAAACCGUUCUCAGUUCGGAUUGCAGGCUGCAACUCGCCUGCAUGAAGCUGGAAUCGCUAGUAAUGCCGUAUCAGAACGACGGCGUGAAUACGUUCCCGGGCCUUGUACACACCGCCCGU
rnacentral:rRNA from 1 species